CAACCCAUCGGUGCUCAGUCCGGGAGGAGCGUGCGAGGAAAGCGGCCACCAAGGUUGCAGCACAUUCUCCCCUCCCACACACACACACAUCGUGCAUGGCGACUACAUCGACACCGAUGUGCGCACUGUAUUGGAGCAGCUCUCCUUGUGUCCGUCGACGACGGUAUCACAGCGCUAUCUGCUUGCCUCGCCGUCAUCCAAGCGGGCCUUCUCCCGGUGGAAGCAGUAUCACCGCGCUUUCUACACACAGGCGCACAACCGCGGCUACGUGAGCCGGCUGCGGCGCCAGCGCAGGGCCAGCACCAUCCGGGGGUCACUAUUUCUACGUGACGGGUCGCCAGCGCCGCUGGCUAUGUGCAGGUGGACAGCGGCUGACCGCGACGCGCUGCAGCGCCUGGCUCCGUCUGAGCGCAGCCCAAUGGUAGAGGUGCUGGAAAGGUUGGAGUCGCAGGGCCACAACAAGCCGUCGAGCCCGAUGGCGUGCAUCCGCCCCAACGAGCCGGAGCACAUGCCGAACCUGCAUCACCACGUUCCAUCAGAACUCGCGCCUGCCUGCUGUGCAAGGUCGAGGAUGCCCCUCCAGGGGCACUGUGAGGCCAACGAGGAGUGUGUCGCGCACAACAGAGUACCAAAGGAGUACGCAACGUGGCUCUAGUAGUGUCCCGCAGCGUAGAGGGUGGGGAUGAGCAGCGGCGGUACCGGGGAGUGGUGACAUGCGGAUGCUGUAGCAAGCGGAUGCAGCAGCGCCAUGCUGAGCCGCAAGGAGCCACCGCCGCUGCGCUCUCUGCUCCCUUCCAUCCAUGCGUGCUUGUUUGGGCAAGCGUGAAUGCUACAUUCAAGGCAGUGUUCGCGAACGCCUCUCCCUCGGUGUUGGCGUGGCCCGCCCAUCUCCUGCUCGCCCCUUGCAGCCGCUCCGAAUACGCAUGCACCUCUGUGUGCGCACUCCUCCCUCCCUCUGGGCAUGUGUUGGCAUGCCCCCUCCUCUUCUUGUUUCUCUCUCGGGAUAUGCUUUUCUGGCUUUCUGGAACCACAACGCGGUGAUGGUGUUGGCGCUGAUGCGUGUACUCGUGCACCAUCGCACACGCACACACGGAGAGAACGAGCGGGACAGAGUAGCCAUCUGCAGGUGCUCCUUUGUCUACCACUGUGUCAGUGGUGGUGCGGAGGAGCCGCCACGAAGUCACGCGCGCCGCCACCGUCGCUCACCUGUUUUAUUUUUUUUUCUGUUCUGUGUGGGGAAGAGAGCGGGGUUGUGCUACUCGUCGGAGCGACGCGCCUUCCCCCCCCCCUUCUCUGUGGUGAUGUCUUGCGUUUUUCGCUGUGCCCUCCCCCUUGUUAGCCCACACCGUGAUAGCCCUGUCUAGGGCGGUCAACCAGAAUGACACACACACACAUGCACGGUGACAUACGAGAUGCACAGCUCAGCGGCUUCCGCUUCAGCGAUCUCGCUUGUGUGCGUGUCUGUGUGCGCGCUGCUGCGUCGUUUUUUCGCCGCACGCCCUCCCCAUCUCCGUGGCAGUGCGAGCCUCAUCAGCAUUCCGGCAGGCAAAGAGAAGGAAAGGGGCAAGAGCAUCGUCGCUCUUCUCCAUGUGCGAUCAAAACCCCAUGCGCAGCACUCUCUGGCAUCCGCGUUGGUACCCCCAUCUGUGUGUGUGUGUGUGUGUCUUCCUCCCCAUGACCUCUCUGUAAUCCCGCAG
rnacentral:misc_RNA from 1 species